UGGGGAAUAUUGGACAAUGGGCGGAAGCCUGAUCCAGCAACGCCGCGUGAGGGAUGACGGCCUUCGGGUUGUAAACCUCUUUCGGUGGGGACGAAGCGCAAGUGACGGUACCCACUAAAGAAGCACCGGCCAACUACGUGCCAGCAGCCGCGGUAAUACGUAGGGUGCGAGCGUUGUCCGGAAUUAUUGGGCGUAAAGGGCUCGUAGGCGGUUUGUCGCGUCGGGAGUGAAAACCAGGUGCUUAACACCUGGCUUGCUUUCGAUACGGGCAGACUAGAGGUAUGCAGGGGAGAACGGAAUUCCUGGUGUAGCGGUGAAAUGCGCAGAUAUCAGGAGGAACACCGGUGGCGAAGGCGGUUCUCUGGGCAUGACCUGACGCUGAGGAGCGAAAGUGUGGGGAGCGAACAGG
rnacentral:rRNA from 1 species